GGGGUAGCUGCAACGACAGCUCCCGACGACGGAUCAGUACCGGGUACGCGACAAGACUGGCCAAG
rfam:marine actinobacterium PHSC20C1 scf_1099646003201 genomic scaffold, whole genome shotgun sequence.